CCAAUAGCGUAUAUUAAAGUUGUUGCAGUUAAAAAGCUCGUAGUUGAAUUUCAGGCCUGGCUGGACGGUCCGCCCUUCGGGUGAGUACUGUCUGUGGUCGGGUCCUACCUUCUGGCGAAGCGUCAUGGCCUUAACCGGCCGUGGCGGGGAACCAGGACUUUUACUGUGAAAAAAUUAGAGUGUUCAAAGCAGGCAAUCGCUUGGAUACAUUAGCAUGGAAUAAUGGAAUAGGACAAUGGUUCUAUUUGUUGGUUUCUAGGACCGUUGUAAUGAUUAAUAGGGAUAGUUGGGGGCAUUAGUAUUCAAUUGUCAGAGGUGAAAUUCUUGGAUUUAUUGAAGACUAACUACUGCGAAAGCAUUUGCCAAGGAUGUUUUCAUUAAUCAAGAACGAAAGUUAGGGGAUCGAAGACGAUCAGAUACCGUCGUAGUCUUAACCAUAAACUAUGCCGACUAGGAAUCGGGCGAUGUUGAAAAAAUGACGCGCUCGGCACCUCAUG
rnacentral:ncRNA from 2 species